CCUAACGGUAAAACUGAUGCCAUCUUAAUUAAGAACCAAACUUUAAUUAGUGCGUUGAAGAAUCCAAAACAGACAAAGAGCUCUCAAAGAUCUUCUCAGUCUACAAACACCCAAAAUGAUGCCAUUUGUUACUUAGCCUUCAACAGC
rnacentral:sRNA from 1 species